rnacentral:tRNA from 1 species
AUGUGGGUGGCUCAGUUGGUUGAGCGUCUGACUUCAGCUCAGGUCAUGAUCUCAUGGGUUGGUGAGUUCAAGCCCCACAUC